AAUCAACGCUGGCGGCGUGCCUAACACAUGCAAGUCGAACGCGAAAGUGGAGCAAUCCAUGAGUAGAGUGGCAAACGGGUGAGUAACACGUGGGUGACCUGCCUUCGAGUGGGGGAUAACGUCCCGAAAGGGACGCUAAUACCGCAUGACAUGCUGUCUUUGAACAGAUGGACAUCAAAGCCGGGGAUCGCAAGACCUGGCGCUUGAAGAGGGGCCCGNGCCUGAUUAGCUAGUUGGUGGGGUAAUGGCUCACCAAGGCAACGAUCAGUAUCCGGCCUGAGAGGGCGGACGGACAC
rnacentral:rRNA from 1 species